rnacentral:rRNA from 1 species
AUUAGUUUUUUAAUUGAAGGCUAGAAUGAAUGGUUGGACAAGAAAUAAUCUGUCUUAAACUAAGAUAUUGAAUUUAACUUUUGAGUGAAAAGGCUUAAAUGAUCUAAAGGGACGAUAAGACCCUAUAAAACUUUAUAUUUUAAAGUAGAAAAUAAUUUUAUUUAAAUGUUAUUAUUUUAAAAUAUUUUGUUGGGGCGACAAGGAUAUAAUAAUGGGUAACUGUCUUUUAUUUUUACAAUAAUAUUUGAUUUGUUGAUCCUAAAAGGGAUUAAAGAUUAAGUUACUUUAGGGAUAACAGCGUAAUUUUUUUUGAGAGUUCUUAUCGACAAAAAAGUUUGCGACCUCGAUGUUGAAUUAAAAAUUCUUUAUAGAGUAGAGACUAUAAAAGAAGGUCUGUUCGACCUUUAAAAUUUUACAUGAUUUGAGUUCAGACCGGUGUAAG